rnacentral:rRNA from 1 species
ACAUGCCUACAACAUAGUGUUAAUGCACCGCAUCCCAUUAGAACUCCACAGUUAAGCAUGCUCAUGCUAGAGUAGUAUCGAGAUGGGUGACUUCCUUGGAAGUCCUAGUUAUUUACAUGCC